rnacentral:rRNA from 1 species
AUCCUCCUAGAUUUUAUUGAUGCUAAAGAAUGGAAAUUUAAAAAAAAACUUUUUUAAAAAUAAAAAUUGAAUUUUUUUUAAUUUGUGCAAAAACAAUUAUAUUUAUUAAAGACAAGAAGACCCUAAGAAUUUAAGAUUUUACAAUUAAAAAGUUUUUUUUUAAAAUCUUGAUUGGGGGGAUCAAAAAAUAUUAACAACUUUUUAAAAUUUAAAUUGAUCUAUUAUUAAUAAACUAAUGAAUUAAAUACUCUAGGGAUAACAGCGUAAUAAUUUUUGAUAGAUCUUAUUGACAAAAUAGUUUGCGACCCCGAUGUUGGAUUAGGAUUCUUUUUUAAUGAAAAAGUUAAAAAAAAAAGUUUGUUCAACUUUUAAAUUCCUACUUGAUCUGAGUUCAGACCGGA